GUGCCAGCCGCCGCGGUAAUACGUAGGGUCCGAGCGUUGUCCGGAAUUACUGGGCGUAAAGAGCUCGUAGGUGGUUUGUCGCGUUGUUCGUGAAAACUCACAGCUUAACUGUGGGCGUGCGGGCGAUACGGGCAGACUUGAGUACUGCAGGGGAGACUGGAAUUCCUGGUGUAGCGGUGGAAUGCGCAGAUAUCAGGAGGAACACCGGUGGCGAAGGCGGGUCUCUGGGCAGUAACUGACGCUGAGGAGCGAAAGCGUGGGGAGCGAACAGGAUUAGAUACCCUGGUAGUCCACGCCGUAAACGGUGGGUACUAGGUGUGGGUUUCCUUCCUUGGGAUCCGUGCCGUAGCUAACGCAUUAAGUACCCCGCCUGGGGAGUACGGCCGCAAGGCUAAAACUCAAAUAAAUUGACGG
rnacentral:rRNA from 1 species